AACCAGUACCGGGUUUUUUCAUUUUAUUGGUGUUGUUUAUGACAUGUUAAUGCCUGAAAGUCUAAUAUUUGAGAAGUUGGGGAGGCACAGUAAACAUACCUCCUCUAUCAGUAUAAUAAAAACUUGUUAUUACAAGAAUAAAUGGAGUUGCUCUGCUAACAUCUGUUUUUUGAAAAAAACUUUAUUGACUGACUUUAAAUGAGCCCACGCCCACUCCAUCCCUCCCAGUAACUCCUACAAAGAAACAUUCAAAUAAGGAGCUGUUUUCAGAGUCAGUGAAUAAACACAUGAACAAACGGUCUAAACAUCUGGAAAGUCCUGGAGGAAGAGAAUGGCUGGACUCAUCUGGAUUCUGCUUUCUGCAUACCUGCUGGGUUGUACCUCUCAAGACCAGGAAAAUAUCACAGCUGAGUCUGGACAGAACGUCACUUUGACGUGUCAAGCUCGAAACUACAGCAAAGAAACUUUGCUGUGGAGCAGAGCUGACCUGGGAGAUGAUAUGUCCUUUUGUAUCGAGACGAGCUGUUUGUUGCAGACAACCAGCAUCCAUCUUUUAAGGACCGGGUGGAUCUGCAGGACAAACAGAUGAAGGAUGGAAAUGUGUCUUUGAAUCUGAAGGAUGUGAAGAUUAAUGACACUGGAACAUACGAGUGUUGUGUCGUUGAGACAGGAAAAUUUGGUUUAAAGCCCAUCAGCAGCAUCACACUGAGUGUUGUUGAUCCUCCAGUUUCUGUUGGAGUGAUCGUUGGUGUGGUAGUUGCUGCUGCCCUCGUUGUCGCUGCUGUUGCUGGAUUUGUGAUCUACAGAAACCAUAAAAAGGCAAAAGAAGUUCUUCUGUUCUCGUCCAAAUAUCUCAGUCCUCUUAUCAUUAAACAGUCUCCUGCUGUUGUUCCCACUUCCCAGCGUUGUCAGUGAACAGACACAGCAGGGAACUUCACAAUGAAACUGAUUUGUGAAAUGUCACCGACAGUUAGGUCUUUGUUUAACUGUUGAAAACAGAGAAUUUUGCUGUUUUAUCAUUCAUUAUCCAGUUAUUGCUUCAUCCAGAUCACACCAUAUAAUUCUGAUUCUGAAUCACUUUGACUAAUCUCUCAGCAUUAUUACAAUAUUCUGCUCUUUACACUGGAUGUCUUUGCUGCAGUGUUCAAAUAUUCAGCUUAGUUUUACAACCUGUGCAGAUAUUAUUUAGCAGUGACCUGCAGUUGUUCAGAAGCUCUAACUUGAACAAAAACACGGUGCUUCUGUUUUUAAUGUGACAGCUGCUGAUUAGAGUCUGAAACUUGAACUUGAUAGACUUGAAGAUUUGCUGUCAAACAGCCUGAUGGAGACGACGUGGAAAUCGCUUCAGUUUGUUAACAGAUAAAGUGAAAUUAAUUAACUGGACUGACUCAACCAUCACUCUUGGUUUGUGUUCAGCAGCAGAAAUGUGAAUUUCAGAGAUCAGAAGAUUAGAAUCAACAAUAAGAACUUUUAUACAUUUUAAUAAUGUAAUG